rnacentral:precursor_RNA from 8 species
AAUGGAUACUGGAGUCUGUGCGCUGCAGGCUGAGGUAGUUGGUUGUAUGGUUUUGCAUCAUAAUCAGCCUGGAGUUAACUGUACAACCUUCUAGCUUUCCCUGCGGUGUCACCAUUACGUCGAGGUGAGU